rnacentral:rRNA from 1 species
AACGAACGCUGGCGGCAUGCCUAACACAUGCAAGUCGAACGAAGGCUUCGGCCUUAGUGGCGCACGGGUGCGUAACGCGUGGGAAUCUGCCCCUCGGUUCGGAAUAACAGUUAGAAAUGACUGCUAAUACCGGAUGAUGACUUCGGUCCAAGGAUUUAUCGCCGAGGGAUGAGCCCGCGUAAGAUUAGGUAGUUGGUGGGGUAAAGGCCUACCAAGCCGAAGAUCUUUAGCUGGUCUGAGAGGAUGAUCAGCCACACUGGGACUGAGACACGGCCCAGACUCCUACGGGAGGCAGCAGUGGGGAAUAUUGGACAAUGGGCGAAAGCCUGAUCCAGCAAUGCCGCGUGAGUGAUGAAGGCCUUAGGGUUGUAAAGCUCUUUUACCAGGGAUGAUAAUGACAGUACCUGGAGAAUAAGCUCCGGCUAACUCCGUGCCAGCCGCCGCGGUAA